rnacentral:lncRNA from 10 species
AAAGAGAGUUGGGAAAAGGCCGGAACGCAUUAAUGGGCCAUUUAAGAACUGCCUGCCUCCUAAACCUAUUUUCAGACUGUGAAGCAGGAAGGCAGUGAGGCAUGGUGUGGAAUUAUAACUCCACCUCCCACAAUCUCCAGGAUGCACCAAAGGACCUAACUGGACCAAACCUCCGAGUUCUUGACUACAGCAUUCCACAUGAAUGGGAUCAUAUAACAGAACACAGAUUUAUUCUCCACUCCACGUGGCCACUGUCAGAGGAUAGAGGAGGUGUGGCAUCAGUGAUUCAAGACUGUAUUUUCUGCCAUCUUUCAGUGCCUCUUUCAGCAAUAUGGAGCUAAAGCCAUGUACCGUGAUUGCUCACCUGAUUUUUAGUUCCUAUGAAGAUGCUUUGUGUGUAAGUAUGUGCAGACAGAGUUAUUAAAUUGGUGUUCUUGCAGGGGGGACAAUCGGUGGAGCCUUCUAUUUGGCCAUCUUGUUCCACUCAUCUUGUUUUUAUUUCUUGUGGGUACAUACCUAGUAGUAAAAUUGAUGGACCAUAUGUAACUUUAUAUUAAAUAUUUGAGGAAGUGCCAGACUGUUUUUUAUAGUGGCUCUGCUAUUUUACAUUUCUUCCAGCAGUGUAUGUGUGCUCCAAACUUUCCACGUUGUUGACAACACUUAUUAUUGUUUUCUUUUUUUAUUAUUGUUUUCCCUUUUUUUAUUAUAGCCAUGUGCUAUAAAUAUGCUCAUUGACUAUGUUAAUUUUUUUGAUAAAUAUUUAUUUAAUUCCUUUGUCUAUUUAAAAAUACUGUGUUAUUUGGCUUUUUACUGUCAAGUGUUAAGAGGCUUUUAUGUAUUUUAUAUACAAAUUCCUUACCAAAAUUAUGCUUUCAAAACAUUUUCUCUCAUUCUUUGGGUUGUUUUUCACUUUUAUUAUGAUAUUUUUGAAGCAUAUAAACUUUUUAUUUCUGAUAAAGUCCAAUUUAUUAAUAGUUUGCUGUGUGUGCUUUGAAGUCAUACUGCAUUUUCACUAAAGGUCAUAAAGAUUUAUUCCUGUGUUGCUGU